AGUCACUGACAUUAGAUACCCGCGUAGUCCAGGGUGUAAACGCUGCAGACUUGGUGUUUGGGAAAGUCCUUUGGGGGCAUUCAGUGCCGGAGGGAAGUUGUUAAGUCUGCUACUUGGGGAGUACGUCCGCAAGGAUGAAACUUAAAGGAAUUGGCGGGGGAGCACCGCAACGGGAGGAGCGCGCGGUUUAAUUGGAUUCAACACCGUAAAACUCACCAGGGAAGACUGUUACAUGAAGGCCGAGAUGAAGACUCUGCUAGAUUUUCAG
rnacentral:rRNA from 1 species